AUAAGCGUUGGAAACGACGUCUAAUACUGGAUAUGAUCACUGGCCGCAUGGUCUGGUGGUGGAAAGAUUUUUUGGUUGGGGAUGGACUCGCGGCCUAUCAGCUUGUUGGUGAGGUAAUGGCUCACCAAGGCGACGACGGGUAGCCGGCCUGAGAGGGUGACCGGCCACACUGGGACUGAGACACGGCCCAGACUCCUACGGGAGGCAGCAGUGGGGAAUAUUGCACAAUGGGCGAAAGCCUGAUGCAGCAACGCCGCGUGAGGGAUGACGGCCUUCGGGUUGUAAACCUCUUUUAGUAGGGAAGAAGCGAAAGUGACGGUACCUGCAGAAAAAGCACCGGCUAACUACGUGCCAGCAGCCGCGGUAAUACGUAGGGUGCAAGCGUUGUCCGGAAUUAUUGGGCGUAAAGAGCUCGUAGGCGGUUUGUCGCGUCUGCUGUGAAAUCCCGAGGCUCAACCUCGGGCUUGCAGUGGGUACGGGCAGACUAGAGUGCGGUAGGG
rnacentral:rRNA from 1 species